CUCCAGGAAACGACGAGAGUAGAAUGUAGGGUCCACAGCUGAGAUAGACAAUGAAUCAAACUGAAGAGAUUUAUAAGCAUGUUCAAUCUUCUUGGUCAUGUUAUAGUCCUGCAAUAUAUCAAUGAUACCCAGAUUAAAGGCCAAGGCAAAGUAAUUAAGAAACCACACCUUGCUGUACCAGGUAGAAGUAGAUCCACCUCCUCAUCACCAGCAGAUGAAGCCCGCAACCGACUACCCCUCACAUGUGAGCCCACAACAACACUGUUAUCAUCUGCUCCUCUAGGAACUAGAACAAGACCUUGUGGAUAGGAUGCUUCAUCCUCCAGAGGAUCUAUCAAAUCAUCGUUAGCAUAUCACAGUUUUUAAGUUGAUCACUUCAUUCAUGCUUAUAUAUUGCACUAGAAAAAGCAAGAAUAUAAAUCUAUAAACUAGACAAUCGAUUCACCUUCCUCUGCAAGCAUUGCUAAUCCAUCCACACUUCUACUUUGGUUGUAUGAUAUGAGAGGACGCAGAUGCUGUGGAGCUCGAUAGUGAACACCUAGAAGAAGGCUGUAAUCCAUAAUGUGUUGUGCUUCUAAAAAUUUGCUGUCUAUUUCAAUCUGCCUGCACAAAAGUAUGAGUAGGAGGAAGUAUUCAGUAUUUCCAGUGGAUUAAAAAAACGUCUUACAUUUUGUAUCAGGAUGCAUGGUUAAGAUA